rnacentral:lncRNA from 1 species
AAAAAGUACAUGGUGAUGGGGCUGGAGAGAUGGCUCAGCAGUUAAGAGCACUGUCUGCUCCCAGAGAACUGGGGUUCAGUUCCCAGCACCCCAUAUGGCAGCUCACAACCAUCCUUAACGUCAGUUCCAGGAAAUCUGGUGCCUGUUUGGACUUGUUCGGCACCAGGCCUGCAGGCAGAGCACUCAUACACAUAAACUAAAAAUAAGAGAUUUGUAAAAGAUGCUUUGUUAGACUUUUGUGGGCUUUUUGGCUUUGUUUUUCAAGACAGGGUUUCACUGUAGCCUUUGCUCUCCAGGACCUCACUCUGUAGACCAGGCUGGCCUUAAACUCAGAAAUCCACCUGCCUCUGCCUCCCGAGUGCUGGGAUUAAAGGUGUGUGCCACAGCCACCCAACUGAAUUUAAUUUUUUAAAAAAUAUAAAGUAUAAAGUCUUUCACUUUGAUGUUUCAUACUUUAGUCCAGUUGUCUAGUAACCACAGGCAGGGCAAGAGAGUCAAACGUUCAAAGCCUGUGGAGUUCAAGGCCAUUCUGUGUAAGCCUAGUAACUCGGUGAGACCCUGCCCACGGGUUUAGAGUGCAGAGCUAGCUCGGUAAUAGAGCACAUUCCUAGUGUAGGCAAGGCCUUAGUUAUGCCCAGCCUCCCUCAUGCAUCCUCAGAGCUGUGCAGAAUAAUUAGCCCCAAGACUGAGAUCGUCCAUUCAACACUUGGCUUUAGUAGGUGAAGGUAGAGAGCGUGCUGGUGGUUUUGAAAGUGAAAGAUUCAUCUUAUGAAAUCAUUCUGGAUACUUUGUGAACCCCAUGCAUCUGGUUUCACUUGGCACCAUGUGUGUCCACUGAUGUCAGGAGAAAUGAACACUUGUGAGCACAUUGCAAAACUGCUCUGCUUCUUGGUCCAGGGAAGGACCCACUCCUGUUAGCCUUCUCCUGAUAAGGGAGAAAAAUCCAGUAGAGAAGGAGAGUGAGGCGCCCUUUAACCAAAGGGUUUAUGUCUGCUGGGUGGUACAUGCCUGUACUCUCAGCAUUUGGGAAGUAGAGAGAGGCAGAAGGAUCAGUUUAUGGUCAUCAUUGCUACAUGAGACUAAGUUUGAGGUUGGCCUGGACUACAAAAGACCCCGUCUCAGAAAACAAAGCUCCUCCGCCAGUCGGUGGUGGUGGCCAGCAGCCUCUGAGGACGAGCUUACCUUUUUGUUUCCCUGUGAAAGUACAAGUUUGCUAAAGGAGGCACAAUCUUCAUGUGCUGCAAUUUUAAAAAAUUUAUUUUGUGACUAAGUUGUGAAUAGAAGUUUUCACCAAACCUUUGCUGAUGUUUCUGUAGCUCUGAAUUUAUGUCAGUUAAGAUUACCAUCUUUAUAAUGUCAGAUCUUAUGCAAGAAUAUAUAAUGUCCCUUUGUUUAGUGGAUGUCUCAAGAGUGCUGCACCUUCCUUUUUAAGUUACUUACUACUAGAAACAUGGUUUCUUCUAUUAUUUUUGUUUCUAGCUAAUUUAUUGCUGACAUAGAAGAUGCAAUUUGAUAAAUAGAUCUUGUGGUUUACAUGAUAUAAAAAAGCAAUUAUUAUCUCUUCCUUUCUAAUGUCUAUAUUAAGGUUUCCCCUCCUUGACCUGCAGAUCAGUGCCUCCACAGUUAUGUUCAACAAUGGUUUUUCCAUUGAAUAUAAAUUUGCUGUAGGGCUGGUGAGAUGGCUCAGUGGGUAAGAGUACCCGACUGCUCUUCCGAAGGUCCGGAGUUCAAAUCCCAGCAACCACAUGGUGGCUCACAACCAUCUGUAACAAGAUCUGAUCCCCUCUCUGGAGUGUCUGAAGACAGCUACAGUAUACUUACAUAUAAUAAAUAAAUAAAUAAAUAAAUAAAUCUUUAAAAAAAAUAAAUUUGCUGUAAUUUUUGGUAAAGAUACUCAUAUUUUUUCAAUUAGGUAUUCCUCUUCCUAUUUUAUUGAGAAUUGUAAACAUAAAAUAGUAAUGAAUUCUACUUUGUUUUCUGUAUCAACUGAAAUCAUCAUUUUCCCUUCCUUGGACUGUUGGAAAUAUAAGGUUUUCUUGUGUGCUGGCUAGUUUCAUGUCAAUUUGACACACACUAAGUCAUCAGAGAGGAGGGAGCCUCAGGUGAGAAAAUGUCUCAUAAGAUAUGGCUAUAAGCAAUUGUCUUAAUUAGAAUUAGUGAUUGAUGGGGGGAGAGCCCAGUACAUUGUGGGCGGUGCCAUCCCUAGGCUGGUGGUCCAGGGUUCUAUAAGACAUCAGGCUGAGCAAGCACCAAUGGCAUCUACAUCAGCUCCUGCCUCCAGGUUCCUGCCCUGCUUGAGUUCCUGUCCUGUCUUCCUUUGAUGAUGAACAGUGAUAUGGAAGCCAGAUAACCUUUCUCCCCAACUUUCUUUUUGGUCAUGGUAUUUUAUCACAGCAAUAGAAGACACCUUGUGUUUGGAGGAAAACUGCACUUUCUGUGACUUGUAUGUCCUCAGUACUGCCAUUGGGGAGCUUUUCCAUUUGUGACUAGAUGGUAAUAUUCACAAGGCCGUGAUUACCUUCAAAGAAAGAGAAUCCAACUUCUAGUCUCCACCCAAGACAGCAGAGAGAGAUGCUCAUGUGGCCAUCCUGCCUCUAGUUUUACACUCCCACCUUCCCCUCCUAUAAUCAGCUGAGUCUAUAGAGUUGGUUCUCCCUGGAUAAGCCCCCCACACAAGAUAAAGAACAGUGUCACUAAUAAUUUGUAUCAUACCUAUUCUAUAACAAAAUACCUAAAACUUAAAAGUUUAAGCCAGUAACAAUCACUGUCUCCCACCAGUAUUUAAAGUCAGGAAAUGAGCAGCUCAGAGGCCUGGGGCUUUACAGCUUCUAUGAAGCAGUUAGAUGUGACUAUCUUCAAGGCUUCUUCAGGCACAUGCCUGGUAUCCUCUGGGGAGACUCAUGAAUGGCCAGAGUUCCUUAGCAUCUCUGCUUUUGUGUAAGGUUUUUUUGUUUUUUUUGUUUUGUUUUGCUUUGUUUUUGUUUUUUUUGAGACAGAGUUUCUCUGUGUAGCCCUGGCUGUCCUGGAGCUCACUUUGUAGACCAGGCUGGCCUCGAACUCAGAAAUCCGCCUGCCUCUGCCUCUGCGUCUGCCUCCCAAGUGCUAGGAUUAAAGGUGUGCGCCACCACGCCCAGCUUGUGUAAAUUUUUUAUGUGACUUGUUCUGCCUCAGGGGUGGGUGUGGGCACAUAUACACACACACACACACACACACACACAAACUUGGCUAGGGUUACAAAAGAACCAGGGAGCUACAGCAAUUUUUAACUAUUUAUUUUGAGACAAGAUUUUUAUUUAUCUAUUUUUAGAGAUACAUACCUGUCCUCUUAGGAUACUGAGGCAGGAGGAUCACAAAUUUGAGAUAAGGCUGAGCAACUUAGCAAAACCCUGUUUGAAGAUAAAAUUAAGGCCACAGAUGUGGCUCAGUGGCAGAGCCCUUAUCUGUCAUGUGCAAGGUUUGGGUUUAGUCUCCAUUACUGU